rnacentral:rRNA from 1 species
AUUGAACGCUGGCGGCAUGCUUUACACAUGCAAGUCGAACGGUAACAGGCCGCAAGGUGCUGACGAGUGGCGAACGGGUGAGUAAUGCAUCGGAACGUGCCCAGUCGUGGGGGAUAACGCAGCGAAAGCUGCGCUAAUACCGCAUACGAUCUAUGGAUGAAAGCGGGGGACCGUAAGGCCUCGCGCGAUUGGAGCGGCCGAUGUAAGAUUAGGUAGUUGGUGGGGUAAAGGCUCACCAAGCCGACGAUCUGUAGCUGGUCUGAGAGGACGACCAGCCACACUGGGACUGAGACACGGCCCAGACUCCUACGGGAGGCAGCAGUGGGGAAUUUUGGACAAUGGGCGCAAGCCUGAUCCAGCAAUGCCGCGUGCAGGAAGAAGGCCUUCGGGUUGUAAACUGCUUUUGUACGGAACGAAAAGGCUCUGGUUAAUACCUGGGGCUCAUGACGGUACCGUAAGAAUAAGCACCGGCUAACUACGUGCCAGCCGCCGCGGUAAGAC